rnacentral:misc_RNA from 1 species
UUAAGUUCAGCGGGUAUCCCUACCUGAUCCGAGGCCAUGCUUUCGUAGACAGGCCGCCCGCCAGGACCUCUCGCCGCAUUUCUCUGCGUUUCGAAGCCGCGACGGGCGCCGAUGUGUUUCGAAGGACCCCUCGCGGGGAACCUCAACGCAAGGCAGAGCCUCAGACACAAACGGCGCUCGAACAGGUAUACCUCAAGGAU